ACUCCUACGGGAGGCAGCAGUGGGGAAUAUUGGACAAUGGGGGAAACCCUGAUCCAGCCAUGCCGCGUGUGUGAAGAAGGCCUUCGGGUUGUUAAAGCACUUUCAGUGGGGAGGAAAGGUUGAUGGUUAAUACCUAUCAGCUGUGACGUUACCCACAGAAGAAGCACCGGCUAACUCCGUGCCAGCAGCCGCGGUAAUACGGAGGGUGCAAGCGUUAAUCGGAAUUACUGGGCGUAAAGCGUGCGCAGGCGGUCUGUUAAAGCGAGAUGUGAAAGCCCCGGGCUCAACCUGGGAAACUGCAUUUCGAAACUGGGCAGACUAGAGUCUUGUAGAGGGGGUAGGAAUUCCAGGUGUAGCGG
rnacentral:rRNA from 1 species